rnacentral:rRNA from 1 species
GAUGAACGCUGACAGAAUGCUUAACACAUGCAAGUCUACUUGAAUUUGGGUUUUUUAACUUCGAUUUGGGUGGCGGACGGGUGAGUAACGCGUAAAGAACUUGCCUCACAGCUAGGGACAACAUUUGGAAACGAAUGCUAAUACCUGAUAUUAUGAUUAUAAGGCAUCUUAGAAUUAUGAAAGCUAUAUGCGCUGUGAGAGAGCUUUGCGUCCCACUAGCUAGUUGGAGAGGUAACGGCUCACCAAGGCGAUGAUGGGUAGCCGGCCUGAGAGGGUGAACGGCCACAAGGGGACUGAGACACGGCCCUUACUCCUACGGGAGGCAGCAGGGGGGAAUAUUGGACAAUGGACCAAGAGUCUGAUACAGCAAUUCUGUGUGCACGAUGACGUUUUUCGGAAUGUAAAGUGCUUUCAGUUGGGAAGAAAAAAAUGACGGUACCAACAGAAGAAGUGACGGCUAAAUACGUG